UUGGUGAGGUUGUGUUAUGUGGUGUGGGUGGUUUGUUCUUAUUUUGUAAUGAAUUUUGCUGUUGCUGAACGUUUGGAUCAACAGUGCCUUUGUGAGCAGUAACACUCACUGCGAAGGUUUGCAGUUUCAUUAAUGAAACCAGUGAGAUUGUAAACCGACUGGGAGCAACUAAUAAUGUGUCGCCCUAACAGCUGGGACGCCCACUACAAAGGUCUGUAGCUUCAGUCGUGAGCUAGUAAACCACGAACCCACUAGAAGCGAAACACUGAACGCAGCUGGGCAUGAGAAGGGAGAAACGCUGGUGGAAACGCUGCCUCUAAGAACUGUAACACCGUGAGGUUCCGUAGCUUCAUUUUUGAAGUCUAGACCAAGAACCCGCUAAUUCUGGUCACACUAGCACUUUGGGAGGCCAAGGUGUGUGGAUUACUUGAGGCCGGGAGUUCAAGACCAGCUUGGCCAGCAUGGUCAAGUGUGGAAACAGCAAGAAGGCUGCUGUCUGCAAGCCAAGAAGAGAGCCCUCGCCAGAAACCAAUUUAUCCAGAUGCUGGAUAUUGGAUUUCCAGCCUCCAGAAUGAUAUGGCUAAGACCGCAGGCAUGGUGGCAUGCAGCCGGUAGUCUCAGCUACUUGGAAGGCUGGAGCAGGAGGACCACUUGAACCCAGGAGAUCAAGACUGCAGUGAGUUAUGAUGGCACCACUGCACUCCAGCCUGGGCAAAAAAGCAAGACAUCAUCUCUAAAAGCUAAUUAUAUAAAAAGAAAAGAAAGAAAUGGCAAAGACACCCAGAAGCCACACUUCCAUAAGUUCCUUUCCCAUAAUACAAGACUUGAGUAACCUCACAUUUCCUCCUUUCAGUGUGUGUUCUGGUAAAUGUGGAUGCUAAAUAACCAGGAUGAGGGAAGCAGGAAGUAUCUGGAGACAGAGCAUUCUCUCUGGUCUGAGGGCCACCUGUGCUGUGUAUGCAGCUGGCUGCCUUUAAAGAAAAGCACAUUUAUAAAAGGCUUUCCUCAGCUAGAGAUAGUCUGGGAAGGUGUGCUGAUGGACCACAAAGACCCGAGAAUCAUUUUGGAGACACCCACCUCCACAAUGUCAAAAUGUAAAGGAGAGGGCUGGAGAGGAGGUAACCCUUUAACUUGGGGAGAUAAAGGUUAUGGACAGAGGCACAGCACAUUGGGGGAAGCAGGGAAUAACUAGGACAUCUUAGCAAGGACACGCAUUAUUGGAGAAGACCAAAAUGGGGAUGUGUGAGUAAAAGAGCGCCACCACAGAGGCUUAUCAUCUUUAAUUUCACUCAGCAGCUUCCCAACAGGGAACACCCAGCAGGAUGGCAGGCAGAUGGCACAGGGGGUCACUACAGCCACAAAGAAUAACAUAUUUAUAUAAUUCUCGUAUGAAAAAUGCAUGUUAUAGUAAUAAUUCGGCUAGAGAGUGAGAUAAAAAUCCCAGACAGUGCCAACAAAAAUGGACAGAGGAAUGGAGAGAAGGGGUAGCCAGGUGAGAAAAAAAGAUGUUCAUUUCUUAAUUUUCUCAAGAGUGAUGAAAAAAAUCAAGAAAUACUUUUGUUUCUGAAGUUGAUAAUAUACUAAUUCCUAUACUUCUCUAUUUAAAGAUAUAAGGGUAACCACCAAAAGACAGACCGUCUCCCAAAAAAGAGCAAAAAGAGAAGGGGCAAAAGAAAAAAAAAAAAAAAAGAGUGCCAAAACCACAGGCAAUGUAGUGAAAGAUUUUUUUUUUAAGUGCUGCAAUAUCAAACAUCUGUUAAAAGGGAAAAACCCAAAUUGGGCCAAAAGGGGGAAAAAAAUGACAAGAAAUCUAACAAGAUAUUUUAUAUAAGAGGCAUACCUAAAACAGACUUGAGAAAAAUUGAAAAUGAAAGUUUGGGCAGUGAAAUAUCAUAAUGUAAAGCAAAUGUAAGUUUUAAAAGCCAAGGGACUAGAUAUAAAAUUCAAUUUUCAUGUUAAGGUAAAGAUCAUCACACAAAUGGUGUCACUCCGCAUAUUAGGAGACAAGCUGGGGUGGGGGAAGUCCGUGACAUUUAGACUCCAAAGUGUUAAUUUCUCUAACAUGUGAAUAUCUUAUGCAGUCAAGCAAGAGGGACACAACUCAACAGAAAAAUUAGAAAGAGGAUAUCAAAGUCACAGAACACAGAUAGCAAUAAACAUUUCAAGAGGUAUUUGCCCUCAAUAAUAGAUAAAUGCCUCCCUGCCCUAUUAGAUUGGCUAAUCAUACACAGACAAAUGUAGAGUAGCAAGAACACCCACCACAAUAACGAAAAGUGUAAAUUCAUGCAGACUUUAGGUAACUUGCUAUUAACAUUUUUUAGUGUUAUAUCCUUUAAUCCAGCCCUUCCACAUCCAGAAUUAUAUUCUUGGGGAAAAAAGCAACACUCAGACAAAUGCUUGAAGAUAGGCUGGAGUACAAUGGCACAAUCAUGGCUCAUUGCAGCCUCAAACUCCCGGACUCAAGUGAUCGUCCCGCCUCAGUCUCCCAAGUAGCUGGGACUACACGUGUGAGCCAUCUUGCCCAGACCGUAAGUGGACAAUUUUUUAAACAAAGGUCUCCUUAUGCAGAAGCAAGCAAACAGCAAACCAGUAUGUACUACAUAGUUCAUUCUUGCCCAAAUCAUCCCCUAACCACCAAAACAGAAAGAUG